UCUCUCUCACAACUCACAUCUCACAUCUCACAAACUUUAUCAGACUCUUUCUCUCUCUUUCUCCCAGAUCUAGAUCGGAAGUGUUUGAACCACCGGUGGAGGAGACUAGGGUUUCGUCUUCCGUGAUGAAAGAUGUCUGGAGUGCUGAUGGUUUGAGAUGAAAUCAGAUGAUGAACAACCUGUGAUGAAGAACAAACAUCAAUGAAAUCGAAAACACACAGGGUUGAACACGGAUUUGAAGAAACCCUAACUGAAGGUUUUGUCCGGUCAUCUCUGUUGUGGUUUCUUUCGGCUUUCUUCCACAUCAACGAUUAGCAAACACAAAGGUUUAAUGGUGGCAUGUUUGUGCUGGUUCAACAAAGCCAGAAAGCGUAGGCGACGGCUAGGGUUUCGAUUAGUGAUCUCGGUCUGAUGUUCUUCACGAUAGAGAUGCACUCGAGAUGGUAAAGAUGGAAUUCCAGCAUUGCUUGGGGUUACAGGGAUCCGCGUUUGAGUUUAGUUCUAGCUGGAAUCCGAGUCGAUCGUUUCACAACUACUAUGGCGUCUUCUAGGGUUUCAUCAAAAGUCCAAAUCAAGAAAAUCCGUUGGGUCCAUCACUAAAGGGUAAUAGGUGCUGCUGCACUUCAACAGUAUAUCGGUGGGUUAGGUGGGAUGGGGACUCCAGGUGUUGGUUCAAGUUCUUCAUAUUCCUCUAAAGAUUUGACCAAAGAAAUCAUGCCCGAAAAGGUAAAUUUUUAUAUUUCGGAAUAGAGUAAAAUGCCAUUUUUGUUCCUGAGGUUUGGCAAGUUUUGCGACAUUCGUCCAAAGAUUUUUUUUCCUCAUCUGGAUAAAAAAGGUAUGAAAUCUUGCUAUUUUCUUUAACUAUUUUAAUCUGCUUAAUCAAAACAUCUGGAAUUUUUGGGAGGAUUUCAUUACUGUUGCUGGCUUCUCCGCACUUCCACAAGUCAUGUGGUCAACGUUUGUACCUUAUGUUCCAAACAGCAUCUUGCCAGGAAUCAUUUCUUUUGUGAUAGUCGUGGUGAUGGUUGUCAUGGCCCUUUGAGAGUUCGAUUCAUCACCCGGUACAGUCAAGCGAAAGCCUAUACGCCGAGCUUCUUCCGAAGAAAAGGAAGUGGCUGAGCUUGUACAAAGGACACAUUUACUCUGUUUAAUUGGACGAGGAUGAUUGAUUGAUAGUGCUUGGGCGUCGUUUACCAAAAAACACCCAAUUUUGGGAUGACUACGCAUGGUCUAAGUUCCAUUUAUCAAACCAGAAACAAAUGAGUAAAUCCGUUUUUAGGCUGGCUAAACGGCAACAUAUUGGCGAUGGACGGAUCAGAUCGAAUAACAGAGACUCAUCAAGUGAUAGUGAUACAGAACAAAGCCUUACUGCAUAUUAUGCUGGUGCAAUCACACUUGCAAAUUCACCAGAGGAAAGAAAAUGACGUGAAAGUCGUUCAAAGCGUUUUGAAAAGAAUCAUGGCAACCGAGCAGCAUCUAAUCUUGUCAAAACCAAAAACGCCGGUCGAAAAUUCUCUACUAGAAGUGCAAAUGCCUUUGUGUUGGCAAAUAGUAACAGUUUCGAUGAGGGUACCGCCAGCAGCAGAGGGGGGGGGGGUAACAUUGCAUUUGUUCAAUCAGCUUAUGAACUCCAACAUCUUUCGGUACCCGUCGAAAUUGAACGUGCUAGCUUGUAGGUGUUGUUAUUUGAUGUCCUAUAAUUGUAGUUGAUGUUUGAGUUGAUCAUAAUGUAAGUUAUGGUUAUUUUUUUGGUUUGAUUUUUAUGAAAUUUAUGCGAUUCAGACCA